GUAAGAUGAUUUAUAUGCCUGGGGAGGUAAAGUCCGGGCUCCACCGGAAAAGAUGCCGGAUAAUAACCGGGCAGAACAGGGCAGUUGUCAUUUUUGUGGCAUAACCCCUGAACUGACAGAAAGUGCUGCAGAAAAUAACCGCCUGGAAACAGGUAAGGGUGAAAAGGCAGGGUAAGAGCCUACCGCGGGUCUGGCAACAGAAACGGCAUAAGCAAACCUCAUCUGGAGCAAAAUCAUAUAGCAGUUUGGUUUCCGGCCUUAUUACUGCGGGUAGAUUGCUGGAAGUGUCAGGUAACUGGCACUGUGGAUAGAUGGUCACACUGCAUUAUUGCAGACCAGAACCCGGCUUACUGUA
rnacentral:RNase_P_RNA from 1 species